rnacentral:rRNA from 1 species
CGGUGACAGGUGGUGCAUGGUUGUCGUCAGCUCGUGUCGUGAGAUGUUGGGUUAAGUCCCGCAACGAGCGCAACCCCUAUUGUUAGUUGCCAUCAUUCAGUUGGGCACUCUAGCGAGACUGCCGGUAAUAAACCGGAGGAAGGUGGGGAUGACGUCAAAUCAUCAUGCCCCUUAUGACCUGGGCUACACACGUGCUACAAUGGUUGGUACAACGAGUUGCGAGUCGGUGACGGCGAGCUAAUCUCUUAAAGCCAAUCUCAGUUCGGAUUGUAGGCUGCAACUCGCCUACAUGAAGUCGGAAUCGCUAGUAAUCGCGGAUCAGCACGCCGCGGUGAAUACGUUCCCGGGCCUU